rnacentral:lncRNA from 1 species
AUUAGCUAUGCAGCUGUAAUUACAUUUUUAAAAACACUGAAUUAUUAUUAUCAAAUUAUUAACAUCCCCUGUUUACCUGGCCUAUUUGAACUGGUCCUUGGUGCAUAAUCGAGGGGAACAACGUCACACUGCUACAUUAAUACAGUCAGUUUUCUAUUAUAAGUAAAGGACAUGCUAUGGGUUGCAUGCUUUGUCACAAUAUUGUUUUGAAUGUUCUCUUGAGGACUGAUGCCGAAUGAACGUUCUACUAGUUACUUAAUGGCAUUCUCUGAGCUGCCAUGUGCUGAUGAUGCAAAUCAUUAGUAGGACAACCUUUUGCCAUCACUGUGAUGUCGCAAGAUUGACUUUAGAUGAAAUAUAACUUUAGCUAGCUAGUUAAGAUUGAGGGACAGGACCGGAUUUUAGCUAGCUAACGUUAGCAUUGCUAGCUAGCAAUAUUUGACAAACUUUUCUAGCUAUGGCAAUUGCCAUUUCUCUCAAGUAAAUUUGACAAUAUUAUAAAUAAUGGCAAAGUUGUUUUCUACUAAUUACUUGCCUGCUUCAGCAAUGUCAUCGUAUUUCCAGUCCACUAUAGUGUCUCCUCAGAUAAUGUUAACUAGAUUGCUAGCUACCAGUCUGUGAGCUAAUUAAUGGUCGCUAGCCUGUUGACUGUUGUUCAAGCUGCAGUCAUUCACCCAAAACGGACCAAGGUAGCCUACUUAGGGUCCCCCCCACACCUGCUACUUGAUUUAUCUUGUCGUCUUUUUUAUGUUUGUGUUUUCUUUGAUGACUGUACAAAAUCAAUUGCUCAAAUUUACAAUUUGAAGUGUAUUUGUCAUUAGGUAUUAGUGCUGAAAUAAACUGGCUUGUGAUUGGAUUUGUAGCUACUAGCCUACCAGCCAGAAGAGAGAGGGUUGACAACUUGUAGCUAGCUACACAGUCCUUCCAUUCAUGAUCCCAUUAUGUGCUAAAGGAUGAGGAGGACCAUGAGGUCAUGGACUUCUUGGAGGAAGAUGCUUUUGAUGAGGAGAUACUUGGUGAAGAGUAUGAGACACACAGACAGAUGAACUGGUUUUCCCCCUAAACCUCCUAGGUUGAUGUUGGUGGUGGCUGCUUUACAUACCGAGCUGGUGGUGCAGGUCGUAGAAAUUCUAUAGCCUGGUCCUAGAUCUGUUUACAUGGUCUUGCUAACUCCUAAUGUAUGAUAGUUGUCAUGCCAUGUUACCAUAGUAGCAGUUGGCUUGGCUAUACAUAGGACUUGGCUGUAUACAGUGGUGUAAAGUACUUAAAUAAAAAUACUUUGAAGUACUACUUAAGUAGUUUUUGGGGGUAUCUGUACUUUACUAUUUAUAUUUUUGACAACUUUUACUUCACAACAUUCCUAAAGAAAAUAUUGUACUUUUUACUCCAUAAAUUUUCCCUGACAACCAAAAGUACUAAUUUCAUUUUGAAUGCUUAGCAGGACAGAAAAAUUGUCAAAUUCCCGCACUUAUCAAGAGAACAUGUGGUCAUCCCUAUUGCCUCUGGGCUGGCGGACUCACUAAACACAAAUUAAUCUUUUGUAAAUAAUGUGUGUUGGAGUAUGCCCCUGGCUAUCCGUACAUUUUAAAAACAAGAAAAUGGUGCUAUCUGCUUUGCUUAAUAUAAGGAUUUUUUUUAUGAAUAAUACUUUUACUUUUCAUACAUAAGUAUAUUUUAGCAAUUACAUUUACUUUUGAUACUUAAGUAUUUUUAAAACCAAAUACUUUAAAACUUUUACUCAAGUAGUAUUUUACUGGCUGACUUUCACUAUUACAUGAGUAACUUUCUAUUAAGGUAUAUACUUUUACUCAAGUAUGCAAAUUGGGUACUUUGUAUAGCACAAACGGAUCAAAGACCAAGAUAAGAUUUGGCUGAUUGUCAGAACAGAAUGAGUGAAGCCUCAAUGUACUUGAGAACUACUGUAGAAAUUCUUGGCUUUGUUACAGGAAAUAUAGAAAAGAGAAUAUGAUGUGGUUUGCUUGUUUGGCACCCAAAUGCAAGGGCAACAGGUUGUGUAUAAUGUUGUGGUUAUGACAGUGAUGUAACUUGCACUUUGUUUUCAGUUUCAAUGAGACAAUGUAUUCCCCUAACCUUAAUCUUUCAAUAAAAGUAUUGUUUUAAUAAUGUUA